AUUUUGAACAAGAUUAAGUCGAAAUUGAACGCCAGAGGGAGUAAGUCGAAGGCAGGUUCCAGCGACUCUAGCAAGCCUCUUCCUCCACCAUCUAAGGUUGAACUACAGAUUGCUUCACGCAAGAGGCCUCAUUCAACUGAAACUCCUUCUGUUUCGAAAAAACAAAAGCCUGUUCCA